GACGAACGCUGGCGGCGUGCCUAAUACAUGCAAGUCGAACGCUUUUUCUUUCACCGGAGCUUGCUCCACCGAAAGAAAAAGAGUGGCGAACGGGUGAGUAACACGUGGGUAACCUGCCCAUCAGAAGGGGAUAACACUUGGAAACAGGUGCUAAUACCGUAUAACACUAUUUUCCGCAUGGAAGAAAGUUGAAAGGCGCUUUUGCGUCACUGAUGGAUGGACCCGCGGUGCAUUAGCUAGUUGGUGAGGUAACGGCUCACCAAGGCAACGAUGCAUAGACGGCCUGAGAGGGGGAUCGGCCACACUGGGACUGAGACACGGCCCAGACUCCUACGGGAGGCAGCAGUAGGGAAUCUUCGGCAAUGGACGAAAGUCUGACCGAGCAACGCCGCGUGAGUGAAGAAGGUUUUCGGAUCGUAAAACUCUGUUGUUAGAGAAGAACAAGGAUGAGAGUAGAACGUUCAUCCCUUGACGGUAUCUAACCAGAAAGCCACGGCUAACUACGUGCCAGCCGCCGCGGUAA
rnacentral:rRNA from 1 species